GAUGAUGCCAGCUUGCUGGUGGAUUAGUGGCGAACGGGUGAGUAACACGUGAGUAACCUGCCCUUGACUCUGGGAUAAGCCUGGGAAACCGGGUCUAAUACUGGAUACGACCUUCUGGCGCAUGCCAUGUUGGUGGAAAGCUUUUGCGGUUUUGGAUGGACUCGCGGCCUAUCAGCUUGUUGGUGGGGUAAUGGCCUACCAAGGCGACGACGGGUAGCCGGCCUGAGAGGGUGACCGGCCACACUGGGACUGAGACACGGCCCAGACUCCUACGGGAGGCAGCAGUGGGGAAUAUUGCACAAUGGGCGCAAGCCUGAUGCAGCGACGCCGCGUGAGGGAUGAAGGCCUUCGGGUUGUAAACCUCUUUCAGUAGGGAAGAAGCCGGUCCUUCGGGGUUGGUGACGGUACCUGCAGAAGAAGCGCCGGCUAACUACGUGCCAGCAGCCGCGGUAAUACGUAGGGCGCAAGCGUUAUCCGGAAUUAUUGGGCGUAAAGAGCUCGUAGGCGGUUUGUCGCGUCUGCCGUGAAAGUCCGGGGCUUAACCCCGGAUCUGCGGUGGGUACGGGCAGACUAGAGUGCAGUAGGGGAGACUGGAAUUCCUG
rnacentral:rRNA from 1 species